CCCGGAGCCGCCCGCCGGGAGGCGGCCGGCCCGGAGUCGGCCCGCCCGGAGCCACCCGCCGGGAGUCGGCCGGCCCGGAGCCGCCCGCCGGGA
rnacentral:tRNA from 1 species